rnacentral:rRNA from 1 species
CCUGGCUCAGAACGAACGCUGGCGGCAGGCUUAACACAUGCAAGUCGAGCGCUCUCUUCGGAGGGAGCGGCGGACGGGUGAGUAACGCGUGGGAACAUACCCGACACUAAGGAAUAGCCUCUGGAAACGGAGAGUAAUACCUUAUACGCCCUACGGGGGAAAGAUUUAUCGGUGACGGAUUGGCCCGCGUUAGAUUAGGUAGUUGGUGGGGUAACGGCCCACCAAGCCGACGAUCUAUAGCUGGUUUGAGAGGAUGAUCAGCCACACUGGGACUGAGACACGGCCCAGACUCCUACGGGAGGCAGCAGUGGGGAAUCUUAGACAAUGGGGGAAACCCUGAUCUAGCCAUGCCGCGUGUGUGAUGAAGGCCCUAGGGUCGUAAAGCACUUUCGCCAGGGAUGAUAAUGACAGUACCUGGUAAAGAAACCCCGGCUAACUCCGUGCCAGCAGCCGCGGUAAUACGGAGGGGGUUAGCGUUGUUCGGAAUUACUGGGCGUAAAGCGCGCGUAGGCGGAUUAGUCAGUCAGAGGUGAAAUCCCAGGGCUCAACCCUGGAACUGCCUUUGAUACUGCUAGUCUUGAGUUCGAGAGAGGUGAGUGGAAUUCCGAGUGUAGAGGUGAAAUUCGUAGAUAUUCGGAGGAACACCAGUGGCGAAGGCGGCUCACUGGCUCGAUACUGACGCUGAGGUGCGAAAGUGUGGGGAGCAAACAGGAUUAGAUACCCUGGUAGUCCACACCGUAAACGAUGAAUGCCAGUCGUCGGCAAGCAUGCUUGUCG